rnacentral:lncRNA from 10 species
GUAGCUGGGACCACAGGUGUGCUCCACCAUGCCUGGCUAAUUUUUUAAAAAUUUUUAUUUUCAGUUGAGAUGUGGUCUUGUAAUGUUGCCCAGGCUGGUUUCAAACUCCUGAGCUUAAAUGAUCCUUCUGCCUCUGUUUGCCAAAGUGUUGGGAUUACAGGCGUGAGCCACUGUGCCUUGCUUGCUAAUGAAAAAAAAAUUUUUUUUUUUUCGUAGAGAUGAGGUCUUGCCGUGUUGCGCAGGCUAGUCUUGAACUCCUGGUCUCUAGCACUCCUCCUGCUGUGGCCUCCCAAAGUGCUAGGAUUAUAGGCGUUAGCCACUGUGCCCUGCUGUAUUUUCUGUUACUUAAAACUGAAAGAGCAACAUUGUUGAUCACAGCCAGAUGGAAACAACUCAGAUGUCAGUUGAUGAAUAAACAAAAUGUAGCAUAUCCUUACAAUGGAAUAUUAUUCAGCAGUAAAAAUAAUGAAGUACUGUUACAUGCUACAACAUGGAUAUAUCUUGAAAACAUUAUACUGGAUCAAAGAAGUCAGUCAUGAAAGACCACUUAUUAAUAUGAUUUAAUUUAUAUCAAAUAUCUGGAAUAAGCAAACUCAUAGAGACAGAAAGUAGAUUUAUGGUUACCUAGAGCUGGUGGGGAGGGGGAAAUAUGGGGCGUGCCUGUUGAUGGGUAUGUGUUUCUUUUUGGGGUGAUAAAAAUACUGUAAAAUUGAUUUUGGUAAUGGUUGUACAGCUCUGUGAAUAUACUGAAGUCAUUAAGUUGUGCACUUUAAUUGGGUGAAUUGUACAUGUGAGUUAUAUAUCUGACUGUAGUUGUUAUUAAAAAACAACAGGAGGCCAUGUGGGCUGCUAGGAGUAGCAAUGUCUGUUCCCAGCCAGCAGGUAGAGACCAGGGCUGGACAGAGGAGUAUGGGCUGUGCUGCAGAUUAUUUGUGGUACCCAACUGUUGCAUAAAACAGGGUGUGAUCUCUUGCAUUGCUAUGCAUGAGUGGAUUCCCAGUAAAUUGUGCCAGGCUGCCUGAUGAUGUGUGGCUUGUGCUUUGGAUCGUAAUGCUUACCUAUGCUACUUAAGUUACAUACCCUGUGGCCUUUGUGGCCAGGACUGUGGGCUACUACCUGGAGUGAUUCGUUAGGGGAAAGGACCCACAGCCUGUGCAGGAGGAAAAAAGCAUCUCUGAGUACAGGGUGGAUGAGCUGGAUGAGCUGCCGGGCAAGAGCCACGCACACCCAGGUGGUGAGUCUUAAGGAUAAGGUGGAAUUUGCCCCAUAGCUGUCCUGGACAGAAACUGCCCAGAGAAGAAUGAAUGGAGGACAUAGGGCUCUGUGGUCCCACCAUACAUGGGGAGACCUGUGACUGGUCCUGUUACCAUGUCAACUUAGCCCCAAACCCAUCUCUGAUUGACUUGGUUGCUUAUUUUGGCACAUUCUUGCUCCACACAGCCACAUACAUACUGGCUGCUCCUCGAAGGCCAGGCAGAUGCAGCAGCUGUUGGGCCAGCAAAGAGGAAGGUCCUGGAAGGUUCUGGCCUGAACGCUGCAUCUGUUGUGUGACAGCCACAACUGCUCAGGCUUCCUUGUCUGUGGGUGCACUGUGGGGAGGAGUGUUAUGAUAAGAACAUUGGCUCUCAGUCUCCCUGGGGAGAAGUUUGGCCUCACGUGGGAUUUGGGCGUUGCCUUUAGGAAGGCUCUCUGCAUGUCUAGUUCCAGUUUGUACUGGGAAGAAUUAAAAAAGUCUGCCAGCUUCUUUAGUUUGUCCUGUCUUUUGUGAUGAUUCUUUCUGAGAUCCCCUCCUAUCAGCUCAGGAGUGGGAUUUUCUGGAGAAGGAAAGUGUUUUUCUGUUCCUUACUGCUCACCUUGGGGCAUUCAGGAACAUGGGCCUGAUGAAUUUGCUUGAAGGCAGUCUGUAAUCCCAUCACUUUGGGAGGCCAAAGAAGGCGGAUCAUUUGAGCUCAGGAGUUUGAGACCAGCCUGAGCAACGUGACAAAACCCUGUCUCCACCAAACAACAACAACAACAACAACAACAACAACAACAACAACAAACUGGGCUGGAUGGCACGCUCCUGUAAUCCCAGCUACUUGGGAGGCUGAGAUGGGAGGAUUGCUUGAGCCCAGGAGGUCAAGGCUGCAGUGAGCCAUGAUUGCACCACUGCAUUCCAGCCUGGGUGACAGAGGGAGACUGUUUCAAAAAAAAACACAAAAAAACAAAACCAUUACCUGGAAGAAUUCUAACAGCACUAUUAUUCUCAUUUUACAGAUGAGGAACUGAGGCACAGAAAUGUUCAGCAGCAGGCCCAUUGUUUAGAGCUGAUAGGUUGUAGAGCUGAGAUUUAAAACUACCAAGUCGAAGCUUACAACUGUGCUAUCUUACUUUUUUCAAUUAAGAGUCAUCCUUAUGGAACUUUGGAGUUGGGAGUUCCUUAGCAAUUACUUAAUCUAACCCUUUCAUUUUACUGAUGAGAAAAUUGAACCUUAGAUAAUAAGGGAUUUAUGACUUAGUCUCAGAGAUAGGCAGGUAAACAACUAGCAGUGACACAAGGUGGGUGGAUGCGAGUUCAGG